rnacentral:rRNA from 1 species
AUACGUAGGUGGCAAGCGUUGUCCGGAAUUAUUGGGCGUAAAGCGCAUGUAGGCGGCGUGUUAAGUCUGUCGUGAAACUGCGGGGCUCAGCCCCGUAUGGCGAUGGAAACUGAUGUGCUUGAGUGCAGGAGAGAAAAGGGGAACUCCCAGUGUAGCGGUGAAAUGCGUAGAUAUUGGGAAGAACACCGGUGGCGAAGGCGCCUUUCUGGACUGUGUCUGACGCUGGGAUGCGAAAGCCAGGGUAGCGAACGGGAUUAGAUACCCCGGUAGUCCUGGCCGUAAACGAUGGGUACUAGGUGUGGGAGGUAUCGACCCCUUCCGUGCCGGAGUUAACGCAAUAAGUACCCCGCCUGGGGAGUACGGCCGCAAGGCUUAAACUCAAAGGAAUUGACGGGG